GUUUUAAACGUUUACCGGCUUGUGAAUUUGCUUGCAUAAAUAAAACGGUUAUCUAAUAAUCUAAUUAAUGUUUCGCCUUGGUCGUGUUGAACCGGACAGCCUACAGCACAUAAGUUUAGAAUUUCUGUUCAACCAUGUGUGGUUGUGAUGCCAUAGUGGGGCAAAGGCUUUAUCAAACCUCAAAGUGCUCUUUGCACCUGAGGUCUAGAAAAUAGUUGAUUGAUGAUUACUCGUAACAUGCUGACGUUUCCAACAACGGGAACCAACAACAUGCGGCUGCAACUUCCGCUGAGCUCCAGCAGAUCUGUCGUAAGAUAAGUUUCUCCAGGGCAUCUAAUACUAAUCGCUGAAAUUUCUAUUCUACAAGUACGCGCAUUUGAGCUUUCAACCCGUGGUUCGAUUCCGUCGCGCCCUGCCAUUAUAGGCAUGUACCGUCUGUGAUUUGUCCUACAACCGUUAGAAGUGUUGUGCGCGGCACAACCAUUCUACGAUGUUCAUCUUCUGCGUCUAAAAAGUGAAAAAGCCUUAAGGUAAAAUUCCUGCAACAGGAUAGUCUCUGUGAAAUCUUUGUUUUCUACUCUACGUCUAAGUAUCGCUAUUUUCGUCGAGUUUUUAUCAAAAGGUUGUCUAUGUUCCACUGUUCUUAAGCGUGAGCAUUUUAAGUAUAACAAUGGUAUGAAAAAUUAUUGAAUUGGCUAAGAUUAGUGCAGCAAGUCUAAGAUCUAGGCUAGAAUGAUGAAGAAACAUAACUUAUUUCUCGUUGGAUAGAAACUGUUUCACUCUUGAACUACUCGCUGAAUUACAAACCGUUUUUAUUUAUAUACUGUAGCAAUGUAGAGCAAAGUAAGUUAAAUUUGAUAGGAGUUCUGUAAAUAAUUAUGUGGCCCUUCUAUCUUCUUCUUCUGAGCUUUUAGCAUACCGAGUAGCUCAGCAGCUAGACUAGCGAUAGCUAUUUAAUCUAAACAUUUUAGCUAGAAUGUGGGGCUAUUUGAAACAGACAACUGUUGUUUAACACACGCUUUAUCCGCUUUCCCGAUUGCAAUUCCUCAAACCUAUGCUCAUGAAUCUUAAAUUUGUGUAGCUAAGCAAGUUAAAUGUUUUUUUCUUUACUGAUUUGUUUAAUCUAAAUUACACUCGAAUUUUAAUAUAUUCUUUAAUUAUUCUUUCGUUGAUUACGAUUUUCUUGUGCAAUACUGUGCACAAGAAAUCAAUUUAAUCCAUGUCUUUUUGUACUGCUCUUAAAGAUCUACUGGUGAAGACUCUGCAGGUGAUGUCAAUAGCUGCAUCCGUUCAAUUCUAUUGGUAAACCCCUUGCAAUGCCGGUUGCAAGAACUAGUAUGAGAUUACGAACUGCUUUCUGGAGGAAAAUGAAACGACUAUUCGUACAAUUCGUUUAUGCUUAUGCAGCAUCACAGCCUGCAUCGCGCUGAACACCACAGUCAUGUUACGAACUAAACAAUGGUAAUGCGUGUCUAACUCUCAGUUGCUUCUACAGUUUUCUUUAAAUUCUUAAAAUAUGAUGCUUCGUACGAGACUACUUUGGACUCGCUUUUAGCUUCAUGAACUUUUUCAUUGUGUUAGUAGCAAAGCUUUUGGCAGUAUAGGAAGGGAGCAAAACUAAAUUGCUUACGAAGUAUUUUCGAUACUGGCCUACUCUGGGUGCCAAACUGUUUAAAUGUGUUCAAUCGAAAUAACAAUCUUCUAAAAGUUCUUUAAGAAUACAGUCUAUUAUCAUUGAAUGAUAGCGUGCAUACAGUACGUAGCUUCCCGCCACACUGAUACCGACUAGGUUUAAUUUCUGUUUGAAACUAACUCUCGCAGACUUUGCAUUCUCCGCAUUGUUUUUUCUCCAUUGACCAAGUGAAAUGCUAUAACCCAGCGGUUCGCAAUCUUUUUUGGUUCGCGAAACUUCCUGGCGGAGCUCCGUAUAGCAUUAUGCUCGCGAGAUAAAUUUUUGGCGAACCCCUGUUUGGGAAACGCUGCUAUAAUCGUUUAUGUUAUACGCAAGACUGGUUUAUUUAAUCCCAACUUAUUACUAUAAGCGCUAGCUGCUAGAAUGGUACCUGUUGUUAUACCCUACGUCAGCACCCAAAUUGCUAAUAAUGCAAUAUGUCCAAUUGCCAAUUUGGUGCUCGUUGAGAUCUGGGUAGCAACGCCGUUAAAUCGCGUAUCCAAAGUACCUAUGUGUCAUUGAGACCAUCUAUAAAUGCAGCUAGUUUGAAGAAAUAUAUUUUAGUUUGAUUUGUUUGAAGAAAUAUAAAUGCCUGUCUACAGGGAAAUGAGGUAGAUAUGGGUAUAAAUCGCUGAUGUAACAGAUUAUUUUAUUCAUUAUGAGGUAGAUCAUGGUUGUUUGUUGUCGAAACCAAUAAUUGGCCAAUUAUUGGCUUCUGAGGUAACAAUGUUGGUUGUAAUAAUACAUUCAUUUAUUAGACUUUGUCUUAGACUUGAGAUACAUCAUCUUUUCAUAUAAGGACAUAGUUGCCGUGCCCCCAGGGGUCUGAGUAGCCUGAGGAGCCUUGUCAAUUACCUUCCCUGCAGGGGUAAAUGAUUGUUUAAUCAUUAGCUUUAAUCUGUUCAACAAUGUGAUUAGCAGGAGAUUGUGCCUUUUUGACAGGUUCUAGGAUUUGAUUGUAAUAAUCAGAGAUGGCAGGGUAGGAAUUCGGUUCACCCAUUGCCUUGUACAAGAGACAAAAAUAUUUAAAUUCCUCUUCGGUGAUGUACUUCGAAACUAACGUCUGGUGUGUACUUUGCAACCAUUCAUCCCGUAGUUUAAGAAGCUGGCCUAACUGGAUUCCAGUAGAGACUCGUCCCGGGAAAGCCGUCGCUAACUCCACCUUCCAACGGAAGUUGUCAAAACAGGCCUCUUCGGUAGCUCGCUGGUUAAUGCCAGAUUUGAAACUGGCGGAUGCUGCAGGAACUGGAUGAACUGGCAUCGUCUGUAUUUUGGCUAAUACAGAAACCAUGUCGUUUGUAAGUGCAGACAGAGUGUGCCCCGAUUGAACGACGGUAGUGGCUAUAGUAUCUAUUGACACUUAGAGACAGUGUCUGCACAUUCCAAGUUGUUGCCAACAAUGAUGCUAGUGCGUCUUCAUCUAUGAAUUCCGAAAAUGCAUCCCAACUUUCGCGGUAUUUUGGCUUUUGUUUGGUUAAUAAGGUUUUGAUAUUUUGGACGAUCUCUUUCGUCCUUUGGUAAUACCGAUGUACGAUGUAAGUUGCUUUCUGUUUCCGUCAAAAUGCGGAAUUGAUUUAAUCGGGUCUGGUAUUCUGAUUAAGUUUUCUACUGCGUCAGAUGUUGGUUCUUCUCGUUCUUGUGGUCUUGGAUUGUUGUUCGAUACAAGGUUGGACAAUACUCUAUCUUGAUUAUCUUGCCUUGUGUUGAUAGAAUUGAUUAUUUGCUGCAAGCUUCUCCAGAGGGAUUUUAAUCCUCUUCCGCUCAUUCAGAGAGACGAGAAGAGAAGAAAAUCUUGUAGUGCACUAAGUUUGGUGGUAGAACGCUAUCUUGAAGUUUUUUCUUAACCAGAAAAAACACCUAUCUUGUAGUAUGCCUUUUAUUCAACACCACGUAGUCUAUCUUGGUAACCAGCCCACGGCUGAAAAUCUCGAUAAUAAAGAGAGAGAAAAAGUCUAUCUUGGUGCUGCGGUGGCGUAUAAGUAAGUUAUUAAAUUCUAUUCACUUAUUCAUCCUUAUUCUGCGAGUCAGGCGACUCAAUACGACAAUUGUCACUCGCCGUGACUCGAGUGAGUGAGUCGAGUCACCUAAGUAACAAACCCCUGUCAACAAAGUAACAAACCGGGUCACCUAGGUGACAAUUGUCACCUGAUUCGCGGCGAAUCCAAAAUAGUCACGUCACUCACCUCACAGAAUAAGGGUGAUUGUCUUACCAAGGCGUUUGGCUUGCAGUGACUUGUGGGUCAAAGUAUACAAAGAAAAGAAAAACUCACCUUUGUUAUUGGUUCUGGUUAGAUGCAAAUCAGAUCCUUUGGCCGGAUCUGGUCGAGCAGAAUACUGGCGAGCUAAGCUUUCCCCUUGAGAACGUUAGAGACGGUAUACCCCCGGACAAGUUGCACAUGGAGAAUGUCUUAUUACAUAUUAGACACUUUGCAGUCACGCUUAAGCUGAGGGACUGAAAGCAAAUGCAGAUAAAAGUUUUAUUUUAUUGCUCUGCGUUACACCAAUGAAUCUGUUAGUUUUGUUUGCUGUGCGGUCUUGAUUCUGUUUGUCUACGUGGUCUUACUAAUGUUGUACAUCACCCCCUUUUGAAAGAAUAUUGUGGUACCUAUAACGAAAUUAUUAAGAAAGUUAUGGUCUGCCUUCUAUUGUUUCUCAUAUUUUUAGUUAGUUAGAUCACUUGAAAAAUUUUCUGAAAGUUCUCAAAGAUUUUUAAGCGAUACAUUUCAUUAGGGCGAUAUUUUGGAGAAAAAGAGUUUAAUCUUAAGCUUCCACCGACUGGCUUACUGGAAUUUCUAUUUAAGACUAGCUCUCAUCAACGUUGCAUUCACCGCAUUGUUUUUUCUCCAUUUCAGUUUGAUUGUACUGUGCGAGAAGUGGGUUUAUUUUUAUUUUAUUGCAUCGUGGUCGUCCUGGCUUCUAUGACUUGUGUGCCUACUGUGCUUUUAGGACCAUUCUUUAUUAUUUUGCGUUUUUUACUCUUGAUUCGGAACUAUUGCCAUAUUACCAGUCUGCAAUACAGGGCUAGGUUCUUACUGGGCCGUAAUAUUUCUGUUAAACAAUAAAACGCUCAGAAUUGUCAAUUACGACUGAUACAAGAUUCAUUGAAACAAACGAGACUGCUUACGGUGGCUUAGCAACGCGUCGUGACAGCGUUGCGUUUGGCGUGGUUGAUCGGAUGAUUUCGUUGUGUACCUUGGACUGUCCUACUCAGCAUUACGGCAGGCCUCCAGCACAUCACUAUAUAUCUAAUCUAAUAUCUAAUAACCAAUCAGCGAUAUCUAUAUAACCUACCUUUUGUUGAUAUUACAUUCUCCGCAUUGUUUUUUCUAUAUUUCCAAUCCUAAUGUUACGCGCGCGACUUAAGUUUCCCUGGUGAAGGUACGUGUCGAAUGCCCUGGUGGGAGAGUGUGGGUUGCGUGUCCUUGUCGUUAACUUUUGUAUACUUUAAUCUAACAUAUAUCUAGAAACACAGCGAUUAUUUACUAUUCUGUACAAUUUCACACAUAAUGACCUGCACAAUAUGACAUACUGUAAAGAAGGGUUUUAUAACUUUCUACCGCAAUGUCGGUUUUUUUAGCAGAGCAAAUAAAGACUUGAUUGUAACCAGCAAUUUGCGCGUGAACUGAUUCGCUUGUGGUUAGCAGUAACUCACCGUUGGUUCACACGAGUCGACGCUUAAUACUGAUUGGAGUAUUCCAAUAUACUGCCCCCUCGAUAGCCGUAGGGUUUCAAAUUUAUUCGCUGCCCGAGGGAGUCGACGACGGGAGCACGAUUUCAACUCCGUCAACUUCCAUCAAAAGUAGAAUCGAGCAUUGCCGAGCCAGUCUUAUCAUUGGUUUAAACUAAGGCACCCAAUGUCGAUGAGUGAUGGUCCGGUUAGAAUACUUAUUUCACGAAGCGAUGCGGUUGAGGACUUACUGGGAUGCGAUGCUGGAUACAAGUGGUGGUUCGAUGUCUACAGGAUGUGGUGUAAGUUGCGCGCGUUGACGUACAAAAAUAGGAUGUGAAGAAUUGGCAUUCACUGGCAGGUGUAUGAUGACACGUCACGCCACGGUCUGAUCAAGUCUUCUAGCUUGUGUCCCCAGUACGUGGGUCUGGUUUACUGGAAUUUCUAUUUAAGACUAGCGUGAUCGUCGUUAGUCCGGUUACUAAUGUGACUAGCUUCUUCUCGCAGUAAAAUAAAACACAUUAUACACUUGCGAUAAAUAGAUUUGCUCUACGCUUAAAAGAAUAACUUUUGUGUAUCACGUUCUGUCGAACAGACAAUAUCCUUUUGUGAUUAGAAUCGGUUGGACAACAGCUAACCACGAGGGAAUAUUACAAUGCGGCUUUCUGCCGCCAACAACUAGCUCUAACCGCAUUGUUUUGUCCCCAUUUCUGUUUGAUUGUACUGUGCGAGAAGUAGGUUCCUGUAAUGAGUCACGCAUUGUUCUUGCAUCGUGGUCGUGCAUCGUGCUUACUUCUGCGACCUGUGUGCUUUUUGUCCUUUUAGGACCAUUUUUGCCUUAUUAAAUUUUUGUGUCUUUUACUCUUGAUUCGUAACUAUUACGAUAUUACUGAUUUGACAGAUUCUUACUAGGUCGUGAUAUUUCUGUUAGACAACAGAACGUUAGAAUUGUCGAUUACGAUUGAUACAUGAUUUAUUGACAACGAUGGCUACAAGUUUCCCAUAAGACCCCUUGGGCUACAUUUCUGUCUAAUAACCAAUCUGCGAUUGGUACAUAAAAAGAGUGCUGCUGUCAAAAGGGAGAAUAAGUCGAAGCCGUUGUGCCUGUAGGAUCGAGUUCAGUUGCCAUUGAAAAUAAUAAACAUUCAGUCUGAUUACAAGGGUUGUCUUAAUCACUACAUUUGGCGACGACAGGGAAAAGAAAUAUUGAAGAUUUUCACAACGGAAAGAUUUUCAAGCUCCAGUCGAAUAUCGUGGAUUAUAAUGACGUUUAAAAUGGUACGUAUGUAGUAAUACGGAAAAAAAUUGACUGCGAUUAAAACAACUUUCUUAAAGUAAAUUGUAAAAAGAUGCUGAGCCUACGAUCAUAAAAUAAAUGGUUUUGAGACCCGGAAAACGGGAUGAUUCUCGACCCAUGCAAGACCCGAAAUGUUCGGGAUAAGUCUUGCAGAAUUAUGUAAUGAGGCCCGACGAAGAUUUGGGAUGAUCCUCAGAGUGUAAGUGAGCCACGGGUUACCUGGGCUAUCACAAGUCAGGGAUGGCUCUCAAAUAAUCAAAUGAUUUCACAUUUAGAUUUUUUAUAAUAAAGCCGUUUCCCUCAAGUGUGAUAUCUUCUGCCUGCUCUGAUUUGCCGGUAAAACAAAUCGUUCCACCUUUCAUAUAAUAUAUUUGAAUACACUAUCCCCCUUUUGAAGAAUAACAGAGUUAAUCAAAACUCUUCUCAAUAUAAAAAUUUUAUCUGUACCCAACUGUUUCUCUCAGUUUUUGAUAACUAGACCAAAUCAAUGAUUUUCUGAAAGUUCUUUGAAGAACAGUAUUUUAUGCGAUGCACGAUUUUUCCAUAAAGACGGAAAUUUCGAACAAAAGAUCGAUUGCAAACGUUUGCCGACUAGCUAACUUUAAUUUCUAUUUAAACAUAGCUUUUAUCGACAUUACAUUCUCCGCAUUGUUUUUUCUCCAUUUUCAAUUCUAAUGCCAUGCGCGCGAUUUAACUUCCCUCGGUGAAGAUACCUUGUCGGGAGAAGUUUUCUAUGUGAUGGAUAACGCAAGUUAACUUUUGUAUACUUUAAUCUAACACAUAUCUAAAAACUCAGCGACUAUUUACUAUUAUGUACAAUUUCACACAAAAGUGACGUGCACGAUAUGGCAUCUAAAUGCCUACUGACGCUGUUGCUACUGCGCAGAAGGGUUUUAUAACUUUCUGCCAGAAUGUCGGUAUUGUUAGUAGAGCAAAUAAAGGCUUGAUUGUAGCCAGCAAUUGGUGCCCGAACUCGUGCGCUUAGGUUGUCGGUACUUUAUUGGAGUAUUCCAAAGGAGAGUUGCUGAAUCUACAAAUACAUUAGUUUUUCUUCUGGUGUACCGUCGAAGACUUCUACCAGAGAAGAAGCUUACUAAAGCUCAUGCUUCUUGAUUUUUACACUAUAUUUCGAUCAGCAUUAGUCUCUAUCAAGAUUUUCGGACGCUCGUUAGCUUUCACUACGAGGUCAUCAUAAAUUUGUUUGUAUUUUAAAAAAUUAAUGAAGAAACACAUAUACUCUGUUCUACUAUGACUUUGUAAUUUUAAGUUGCAAAGGAAGAGAAGGAAAAAAGUGUGCUGCUUAUCACAUUUGUUGUUGUUACAUGCACUUUCUUAUCUGCUUUACUAGAACAUAAUGGGUUAAGUUGCAAUGGCUAUUUGCCAGACAAUAGAUUUUAUUGGUUAUACGUGGUCAAUUUAUUUAAGGAUUUUGAUCUGGUACCUGCACACCUUCCUGACUCAGACUUCUGGCUGGUUAGCCAAUUUUGUUAAAUGAGUUUCUUGUUAAUAAAACUCGAAAUCAUCAUGAAACCAACCACUGCAAUUGAAAAACGGACAAAUGAUAGGGGUUAACUCUAACUACUUUUCAGUGGAACAAAUGGAACACACACGUUUUGCGCACACCUAAUUAACUAGUCGAUCAAUUCUAGUAUAUUUAUUAUUUAUAAUGUUGUCUAACCUUGAUAAUCACCGGGUUAACUUCGUCGCUUUCUUUGGGUCGCUUUACAUGCGGACAGGUCAUCGUGUCACCACAUCACGAGAAUCCGAUACUGUCCGAUUGAUCUUUGUAGUUCCACGAAUCAAGGUAUGCUGCGAGUAUGCAGCGAUUUCAUGAUGCGAAUUGAUUAUAGGGUAAUAGUUAAAUAAUGGUACGGCAUUGCAUGUGCUUCACAAAAAGUAAAACAAACCUAACUCUGUCUAUCAUCGGAAAAUCGGAAAAAUUACACUUCGAUGAACACUGAACACUGAGGGCAAUAAUUGUAUAAUAAAAUAAUAAGCUUAUAUGUUGGAUGUUUAAGGAUUUUUGGAAGUAAUAUUUUUUAAUGUGUCACCGAUACUAUUGAAACGAAAUAUGUAUAUUUAAAUACAAAAGGAAAAGAUACACGAAGAAGAAAAAUUCCAGAUUGUU